ACGGUCCUAAGGUAGCGAAAUUCCUUGUCAGGUAAGUUCUGACCCGCACGAAAGGUGUAACGAUUUGGGCGCUGUCUCGGCAGCAGACUCGGUGAAAUCUUAGUACCUGUGAAAAUGCAGGUUACCCGCAACUAGACGGAAAGACCCCAUGGAGCUUUACUGCAGCCUGAUAUUGAAUUCUGGUCAUACAUGUACAGGAUAGGUGGGAGACAAAGAGACGUGCACGCCAGUGUACGAGGAGUCGACGUUGGGAUACCACUCUUGUGUGACCGGGGUUCUAACCUGGUAUCGAGAACAGGUACGGGGAGAGUGUCAGGUGGGCAGUUUGACUGGGGCGGUCGCCUCCCAAAGAGUAACGGAGGCGCCCAAAGGUACGCUCAGAUUGGAUGGAAACCAAUCGUCGAGUGCAAUUGCAGAAGCGUGCUUGACUGUGAGACAAACAAGUCGAACAGGGACGAAAGUCGGGAAUAGUGAUCCGGCGGUGCCGAAUGGAAGGGCCGUCGCUCAACGGAUAAAAGCUACCCUGGGGAUAACAGGCUGAUCUCGCCCAAGAGUUCACAUCGACGGCGAGGUUUGGCACCUCGAUGUCGGCUCAUCGCAUCCUGGAGCUGGAUUCGGUUCCAAGGGUUGGGCUGUCCGCCCAUUAAAGCGGUACGCGAGCUGGGUUCAGAACGUCGUGAGACAGUUCGGUCCCUAUCUGUUGUGGGCGAAGGAGAUCUGCGGAGAGCUGUCCUCAGUACGAGAGGACCGGGAUGGACCUACCGCUGGUGCACCGGUUGUUCCGCCAGGGGCAUAGCCGGGUAGCUAAGUAGGGAAAGGAUAAGCGCUGAAAGCAUCUAAGCACGAAGCCUACUCCAAGAUGAGAUCUCCCAUUCGCAAGAAGUAAGACCCCUUAAAGACGAUAAGGUAGAUAGGCCAGGGAUGGAAGUGCAGUGAUGUACGGAGUUGACUGGUACUAAUCGGUCGAGGACUUAAUCAG
rnacentral:rRNA from 1 species